AGGAACUUAACUUUCACUCUGCAGGAACUUAUAGUGGAGGAUUGGAGAAGACUGAGAAGGAAAAAACAACACAGAGCAUCCUCUACUGUUCUAUACAUCCUACCUUUCUUCUCUAGGUUAACUCACUCACCCUCUCUCUCUCUCUCUCUCUCUCUCUCACUUUCACACUGUAUCCGUCUUUUCAUCACAUUUACAGGCGGUAACCAAGAAAACAUUUGGGUGCAACAAUUUCCGAUCUGCACUGGAGAACGGUCUCUCUCUCUCUCUCUCUCUCUCUCUCUCUCUGUCUCUAUAAAUAUAUCUUGCUGUCGCUCUUUCAAGCCUCCCAUUCAUUCAGGACCCUCUCUCCUAUCUCCAGACCUCUACUUCUUCCGACAACUUCAACGUCUUCCUUCCUGUGGGAAGCUCGGACUAAAGGAGGUACAGCUCUUUCACGCAGGAGACCUCCAAGACACAUCCACUAAAGCCACUGUCAAGUAAGUGCUGCUACAUAUUAGGAUGCACAUACAGUACCAGUCAAACGUUUGGACACACCUUCUCAUUUAAGGGUUUUUCUUUGUUUUUACUGUUUUCUAUACUGUAGAAUAAUAGUGAAGAUAUCAAAACUAUGAAAUAACACAUAUGGAAUCAUGUUGUAACCAAAAAAGUGUUUGGUUACUACAUGAAAAGCGAAUGAGUAGGUGUGUCCAAACUUUUGACUGGUACUGUAUUUACAUACAGAUGACAAGAUAUUGAUUAUUUUUGUAUGUAUUGUCUGAUCUUUGACUGGAACAUACUGGGCCGAUUAUGUGAGCGGAGUUGAACGGUUGGAAAUCCAACUCAGAGAUGUGCACCACUCAUCCUUUCAAACCGCUCUGCUAAAAACCACUCCAUGCACACAGGAAAAAAAACUGCAGCUCCAAAUUCGCUCCAUUCAUUAAAACUACUACCUGGACGUACCAUUUGGUUUUGAAGUAUUGAAACCAUAUCAAAUCAUUUGAAUGAAAAUUAUUUGAAUAAACAUGAAAAGGUGAAUGUAAGAAGCGCACAUCAUUUCAAAUAGACUAAAUGUUAUAUUAAACAGCAUAUACACACUCUAAAUAGGUCAGGAGCCAGACAGGGAGCCAAAAAUGAAUUAUUUAGGCUAUAUUAUUUCAAUUAUUUUAAGACUAUUGCCAACAAAGAAAUGCAUUGUGAAGCAUUUGCGAGUGUGACACAAUGGGCUGGUAGGGAUAUAAAGCGUUCAGCAUUUAAACAACAUUUUGUUGUAUUAAAUCAUUAUUGUCUAUAAAUUGUGUACACAGGCUGUGACUUACUUAGAAUUAAAGACAAAUUAAACGGAAAAUGACUUAUUAGUUCCUUUUAAUUCAUUUUUAGAAACAGUAGUUUGGCCAGUCUGUGGCUUCAGGCUCAUGUGAUGGUGCCUGGAGAACAGGCCAGCACCCUCUCCACACCUGCAGAGCCACUGGGGAUGCUAAACACCCUUUUGGCCACUCUUGCCAGGCUGGGCAGAGAUGGAGAGUUGUUUUUUUUAUUUUUAUAUAAGUAGGCCAAAAUGUUUUUAGGCAAAAUAACCCAAUCAAAAGGGAAAGCCUCUUGAACGUGGCAAUAUGCCAGGCCUAUUGGGCCAAAAUCAAUUAAGUCCUAUUGUAUCGAUAAUAGAACAAAAAUUAAUGAAAUGUUUAAUAAAUGUCUUUUUAUCAUCAAUUUUUCUCAGCCAAUCAUCAAUAAUGUAAGUGCUGUACUUGUUGAAUGUCCUUUCCUAUAAGCAUGCUGAAAGUUGGUUGUCAAUUUGUUUACAGUGGAAUAGCAUUGUAUCUGGUCAAACAAUUUUUUUAUUCAAAAGUUUACAAAGGGUUGGUAACAGGCUGAUUGCUCGGCUAUUUCAGCCAGUUAAGGGGGCUUUCCUAUCCUUAGGUAGGGGAAUAACUUUUGCUUCCUUCCAGGCCUGAGAGCACACACUUUCUAGUAGGCUUAAAUUGAAGAUAUGGCAAAUAGUAGUGGCAAUAUCGUCCGCUAUUAUCCUCAUCAAUUUUUCAUCCAAGUUGUCAGACCCCGGUGGAUUGUCAUUGUUGAUAGACAACAACAAAAAAAUGUGCCUCUUCCACACUUGCUUUACGGACUUCAAAAAGACAACGCUUGUCUUUAAUAAUUUUGUCAAAAAUACUUGAUUGUGUAGUGUCAGCGUUUGUUGCGGGUAUGUCAUGCCUAAAUUUGCUAAUCUUGCCAAUAAAGAAAUCUUAAAGUAGUUGGCAAUAUCAGUGGGUUUAGUGAUGAAUGAGCCAUCUAAUUCAAUGAAUGAUGGAGUAGAGUUUGCCUUUUUGCCCAAAGUUUCAUUGAAAGUAAUCCAAAGAUUUUACUAUCAUUCUUUGUCAUUUACCUUUGUUUCAAAGUGUAGUUUCUUC
rnacentral:lncRNA from 8 species